rnacentral:rRNA from 1 species
UACGUAGGGGGCUAGCGUUAUCCGGAAUUACUGGGCGUAAAGGGUGCGUAGGUGGUUUCUUAAGUCAGAGGUGAAAGGCUACGGCUCAACCGUAGUAAGCCUUUGAAACUGGGAAACUUGAGUGCAGGAGAGGAGAGUGGAAUUCCUAGUGUAGCGGUGAAAUGCGUAGAUAUUAUGAGGAACACCGGUGGCGAAGGCGGCUUUCUGGCCAGUUACUGACGCUCAUGCGCGAGAGCUGGGUUAGCGAACCGGAUUAGAUACCCCGGUAGUCCCUGAGCGGG